rnacentral:rRNA from 1 species
UCUACAGGCUUAACACAUGCAAGUCGAGGGGCAGCAUGGUCUUAGCUUGCUAAGGCCGAUGGCGACCGGCGCACGGGUGAGUAACACGUAUCCAACCCGCCGUCUACUCUUGGACAGCCUUCUGAAAGGAAGAUUAAUACAAGAUGGCAUCAUGAGUCCGCAUGUUCACAUGAUUAAAGGUAUUCCGGUAGACGAUGGGGAUGCGUUCCAUUAGAUAGUAGGCGGGGUAACGGCCCACCUAGUCUUCGAUGGAUAGGGGUUCUGAGAGGAAGGUCCCCCACAUUGGAACUGAGACACGGUCCAAACUCCUACGGGAGGCAGCAGUGAGGAAUAUUGGUCAAUGGGCGAGAGCCUGAACCAGCCAAGUAGCGUGAAGGAUGACUGCCCUAUGGGUUGUAAACUUCUUUUAUAAAGGAAUAAAGUCGGGUAUGCAUACCCGUUUGCAUGUACUUUAUGAAUAAGGAUCGGCUAACUCCGUGCCAGCAGCCGCGGUAAUACGGAGGAUCCGAGCGUUAUCCGGAUUUAUUGGGUUUAAAGGGAGCGUAGAUGGAUGUUUAAGUCAGUUGUGAAAGUUUGCGGCUCAACCGUAAAAUUGCAGUUGAUACUGGAUAUCUUGAGUGCAGUUGAGGCAGGCGGAAUUCGUGGUGUAGCGGUGAAAUGCUUAGAUAUCACGAAGAACUCCGAUUGCGAAGGCAGCCUGCUAAGCUGCAACUGACAUUGAGGCUCGAAAGUGUGGGUAUCAAACAGGAUUAGAUACCCUGGUAGUCCACACGGUAAACGAUGAAUACUCGCUGUUUGCGAUAUACAGCAAGCGGCCAAGCGAAAGCGUUAAGUAUUCCACCUGGGGAGUACGCCGGCAACGGUGAAACUCAAAGGAAUUGACGGGGGCCCGCACAAGCGGAGGAACAUGUGGUUUAAUUCGAUGAUACGCGAGGAACCUUACCCGGGCUUAAAUUGCAGAUGAAUUACGGUGAAAGCCGUAAGCCGCAAGGCAUCUGUGAAGGUGCUGCAUGGUUGUCGUCAGCUCGUGCCGUGAGGUGUCGGCUUAAGUGCCAUAACGAGCGCAACCCUUGUUGUCAGUUACUAACAGGUUCCGCUGAGGACUCUGACAAGACUGCCAUCGUAAGAUGUGAGGAAGGUGGGGAUGACGUCAAAUCAGCACGGCCCUUACGUCCGGGGCUACACACGUGUUACAAUGGGGGGUACAGAGGGCCGCUACCACGCGAGUGGAUGCCAAUCCCAAAAACCUCUCUCAGUUCGGACUGGAGUCUGCAACCCGACUCCACGAAGCUGGAUUCGCUAGUAAUCGCGCAUCAGCCACGGCGCGGUGAAUACGUUCCCGGGCCUUGUACACACCGCCCGUCAAGCCAUGGGAGCCGGGGGUACCUGAAGUGCGUAACCGCGAGGAGCGCCCUAGGGUAAAACUGGUGACUGGGGCUA